GCCCCGGUAGUAUAGCCAUGCGAAGAGCACUAGAACGGUCAAGUAUACCGGCCUUUCGAGCCGGCGACCCGGGUUCAAAUCCCGGCCGGGGCA
rnacentral:tRNA from 1 species